rnacentral:rRNA from 1 species
UACGUAGGUGGCAAGCGUUGUCCGGAUUUACUGGGCGUAAAGAGCGCGCAGGCGGUCGGAUAAGUCGAAUGUGAAAGCCCCCGGCUCAACUGGGGAGGGUCAUUCGAUACUGUUCGACUCGAAGGCAGGAGAGGGAAGUGGAAUUCCCAGUGUAGUGGUGAAAUGCGUAGAUAUCGGGAGGAACACCAGUGGCGAAGGCGACUUCCUGGCCUGUUCUUGACGCUGAGGCGCGAAAGCUAGGGGAGCAAACGGG